rnacentral:lncRNA from 10 species
ACUUAUGGAGACAAUAAAAGCCCCUUGGGAAAACUGGCCUCAUACUUUGUCUACGCAGUGCCUGUACAGGGUUCCUGAUCUGUGUAAAUGCUUCCUGAGCCCUCACCAAAACUAAAUGCUGGUGCCAUGAUUUUUGUACAGUCUGCAAAAUGGACUUUGUGGAAGUCUGAACUUAGUGAUGACUAAGGGUAUCUGGUGGAAGAAAUUUCUAAGCAGGAAAACAUUCAAGAGAUAGUGUGACUGCUUCUAACAGCCUAUGAUCAGGUAUGGGUGCAAAGGAAUGACCUAAUGUUGGAACUUAAAGCUUCCUGAAGCCUCUCCAGAAUGAGAUGCUGGUGCUAUGCUUUUUGUACAGCCUGCAAAUUGUGAGCCAAAUAUAGCUCUUUUCUGUAUAAAUUGCCCAGCAUCAAGUAUUUUUUUUACAGCAGCACAAAACAGACUAAUACAGAUGGAUAUUGUUGGAUUUCUAUAUUUCUAUAUUUGCCCCCAUGACACAAACACCUCCCACCAGACCCCACUUCCAUCACUGGGGAUCACAUUUUAACAUGAGAUUAGAAGGAGACAAAUAUCCAAAUUGUAUCACCAUCAAACUGUCUAAAUUAUAAGUUUCAAAAUUUUUCUCCAGAUUCUUCCGAAUCUUAUAAGUACAUGAACCAGUCAUGUACACACCAGUUUAACUUUAUUUCAUCUCUAGUAUCUGUUGAGAUCCUCUUUGUCUGCAGCAUUAUACAGUUUCACAUCAGAUGUAGAAAUACUGAAAUCCAAAUUUAUUCAUCUGUAUUUCC